GUUCUCAGCCUGAGCCUGUAGAAGAAAUGGAGAAAGAGUGAAACAGGAGGAAAAUUAAUCCCCAAUGCAACAGAAUUAAAGCAUGUGAGCCCACCGCAUUCCUAUCUCCAGGGGAUGCAGCAAUGAAGCACCAUCUUGGCAACAAAGGGCAGACUUCACCUGGCACCAUGUUCUUGGACUUCCC